CCAAGGAUCCUGCUUGUGCUCUUCACUUUUUUUUUGAGAUGGGGCGAGGGGGAUGGCUCCAUCUCCCUCACCCUGGAGGUGACGGACAUCACCCCUGGGGGCAAGCUUGGAGCGUGAGGCCUCGGGCAGAGGUGAAGCUCAGAGAUAAGCCACCAUCCAUCCAUCCCUCUCUCCUUGUGGCCUCCUGGCGACACCGGUUCCUGGGAGGACGGGGAACAAGGAACUACCCCAGCCCCAGCUCCGCUCGGCCCUGCCAAAGCAAGCAGGCGCCUGGCUGUGAGCUUCCUCCUUCCUGCCUCCGGGGACCGGGUGGCUCAAGUCCCUGCAGGCCUGGCCAAGCCCAAACCAGAGCGAAGCCCCUGCUGCCCUGAGGAGCCAGGGUGACUCGCUGCCUGCUGGGCUCAGAUACCAUCAGGACGUUGCUCCACGCUUUCUCCUCCCAGCCUGGGCUGACAGCAAAUUCUGCAGGUUUUGGGGGGGGGGUAAGCAGGGUCUGCUACCCCUGCUCACUGCCUGUCUCCCCCCCUCCCUGCCCCAUGCAAACACACCUCCAUGAAAACCAUCGCUCAGGGACUCCGUCACCCAUCAUGGCUCUGCUGUAGAUGGGGCAUGGCCAGGCAUCCAUUUCCUUGGGGCUCAGGGGACGGGAGAUGAUCUUCAGCUUGUGUCACGUUGCUGGGGGCUCCACUUAACUUCAGCAGCACAAAGUUAUACCAGCAGAUGAGCUGGCCCUUCACUUCCCUGCCAGAACAGGAUGAAGUAGAUGUCCUGCCCAAUGAGGCAUGCAAAUAUCCCAAUUCAGGGCUUGAAAUUCAAGGUGUGAUGAAGAGCCCGGAAAGCAUAACCUGCCUUGCAGGAGUUUUGUAAUCCCUUGUCACAACGUUUGCCUAAUACCAUUUACCUUUAACUGCUGAGACAAGCUAGAAAACUCUGAAUGCAAGGAACCGAGGCCAUGCUCAGCUGGCCCUUGCUGGGAAACUGGUAUAAGCCUGAUCACACCAUGUGGCAUCCCCAGCAGAAGCUGAAGUAAAGCAGAACUCCACCGCUUCACUACACAAGUCCCUGCCCAAGAGAAGUUUCCAACCUGUGAAGUAGAGGAGAAGCAGCUGAAACCUCAAGGAAAAACAGCAGCAGCCCAGCCGCUAGAGCAUUACAAACAAUAAUGAGAAGCUGUAGCUGACUGAAGAGAAGGCAAGAUGAUCAGCCAAGAAUACAGUUUUGUCCCCUAGCCAGCACUGGGGUAGAUAACUGAAGGGAAAAAGAAACAAAGGUAGUUUUUAGGAAGGCAAACUUGCUUCCUCCCCUCCUCCCCCCCCAAAGCAGCUCCUCCACUGAGCCUAUUAUUAAAUGGGAAAAGCAGGGAGGACAAUCUGCUACAGAAACCAUGAUGAUGGGACUACUUCAGAAGCUUGACAGAUGUCCCUGAGGUGAUGAAGAGACUGCAGCAGAAGCUGACUACCAACAGCUGCUGCUCACCUCUCCACCUGCCACAAUCAAACUAGGCACCAUGCAUUCUCUGGAAAAUAUCAAAAGAUGUGCUGAAAUUUUCAUGCCCAUUCUGAUGUGGCAAGGCACUGGUUAGACUUACUUUAACUUAGUCUUCAGAAAAAAAAAAAAAUCUAAGCACACACAGAGUACUGCACAAAGAUGAUACAAAACAACAUGAUACCAGUGCAAGUUCCAUGAAACUUUUUAUUCAACAAGUAUUUCGUUAUGAUUCUGCCAAGAUGAUCAAAUGAACAGCAAGGCAUAAAAAACAUGAAAUAGUUAAGAGAUUUUAUUCUAAUAGCUUUAAUUACAGUGCUUGUUUGUCGAAAUGAAAACCGAAAACAAGUAUACAAAACAGUUGAUUACUAAUUGUGUAUUGAAAGCAAUAAAGGUUU